GUGGGUAGUUUGACUGGGGCGGUCUCCUCCUAAAGAGUAACGGAGGAGCACGAAGGUUGGCUAAUCCUGGUCGGACAUCAGGAGGUUAGUGCAAUGGCAUAAGCCAGCUUGACUGCGAGCGUGACGGCGCGAGCAGGUGCGAAAGCAGGUCAUAGUGAUCCGGUGGUUCUGAAUGGAAGGGCCAUCGCUCAACGGAUAAAAGGUACUCCGGGGAUAACAGGCUGAUACCGCCCAAGAGUUCAUAUCGACGGCGGUGUUUGGCACCUCGAUGUCGGCUCAUCACAUCCUGGGGCUGAAGUAGGUCCCAAGGGUAUGGCUGUUCGCCAUUUAAAGUGGUACGCGAGCUGGGUUUAGAACGUCGUGAGACAGUUCGGUCCCUAUCUGCCGUGGGCGCUGGAGAACUGAGGGGGGCUGCUCCUAGUACGAGAGGACCGGAGUGGACGCAUCACUGGUGUUCGGGUUGUCAUGCCAAUGGCACUGCCCGGUAGCUAAAUGCGGAAGAGAUAAGUGCUGAAAGCAUCUAAGCACGAAACUUGCCCCGAGAUGAGUUCUCCCUGAUUCCUUGAGAGUCCUGAAGGAACGUUGAAGACGACGACGUUGAUAGGCCGGGUGUGUAAGCGCAGCGAUGCGUUGAGCUAACCGGUACUAAUGAACCGUGAGGCUUAACCUU
rnacentral:rRNA from 1 species